rnacentral:rRNA from 1 species
UACGUAGGUGGCAAGCGUUGUCCGGAUUUAUUGGGUUUAAAGGGUGCGUAGGCGGCCUUGUAAGUCAGUGCUGAAAUAUCCCGCCUUAACCAGGAGGGUGGCAUUGAUACUGCAGGGCUUGAGUAAAGUUGAGGUUGGCGGAAUUGACGGUGUAGCGGUGAAAUGCUUAGAUAUCGUCAAGAACACCGAUAGUGAAGACAGCUAACUAAGCUUUAACUGACGCUGAGGCACGAAAGUGUGGGGAUCAAACAGG